ensembl:lncRNA
CUUGUCGAGGGAAGGAAAGGGAAAAUCAGACCUGUUGUUUUUUGAAUCUUGAGUGAUCAAUUCAAAGCCAAGGCUGAUGCAAGGACAACCAGUUGAGUGCUAAGAUGCUUGCUGUUGUCUACUGUGUGGCAGACAUUUGGGUGUGUUUGAUUUUUAUUUAUUUAUAUUUUUUGCUUUUGCUUUAGUCUCCUCACAGUCAGGAAACAAACACAAUGCACUGUCCCAAUUACCACACCUGCCUCAACCACUGCCAUUCUUCUAUGCCUCAUGGUCUCCCACCAACAGUGUGGGGUCACUUUUGAUCAUUGAGCCAUCUUGAGCUUGUAAACCAUGUGAUAUUUGUGGCUUAUCUAGGAGAACAGGAACCCAAAGAUAACAAUCAACAUCUUUAGAUAGAUCCCAGAGAUCUAUCAAUCUUAGGAACCUCACUUGUGCAAAACUCUGUUUCUGGAUGUUAGCUCAGCAACAAUCUUCCUCAAGCCCAAAGAGGAAGACUGGCAACAGAUGUUAGCUCAGGGCCAAUCUUCCUCACCAAAAACCCCCAACAAACAAAAACCCAGUUUCUGUCGAAAUGUUUUUGGUAUGGCUGUAUAGACAUCUGGAGUAUUUGCCUUGUGAUAGAAAUCAUUUAUAUUUGUAGAAACUAUUGUAUUUUUAGAUCCUUUAAUCAUACAUUCUGAACAGUGUUGUCAAAGAUAGGGAAUGAAAUAUAGUGAAAAGCCCAUGGCACGAGGCAUAUGACGUCACUUAAAAACUUUCUGAUUGGAUCCAGUUACUCUUUACAAGUCUCAGUAUUUCCAUCAUAAAGUGGGAGUAAUAAUGCCUUCCCUAGCUUUACUUAAUAUAAGAGAAGUACAAGUGUUUUAAAAUUCCAAAGUGUAUAAUUCCAAAGUACAAGUGUAUGAUGAGAAGGAAAAAUAAGACUUAUCAAGCCUCUUCUCUACGAGACGAGCCACACUAAGGUAACACUAUUGUGUAAGGAGAGCGCCUCAUCUACAAGAUCCCUUACUUGCAAUUGUUAUGCACGGACAGAGCCUCUCAGCAGAGGCAACAAGUCAGUACCAAUUUCACAGUUGCAACACUGGGUUUUGGAACCAGGCAGACAUGGGUUCAAAUUCUAGCUCUGCCAUUUUAUGACCUUGUCAUUUUACUGCUCUAUUUUCUUAUCCAUGGAAUAAAGCUAAUAAUUUCUACUUCAUGGAGUUUUGGUAGAGAUUAAGUGAGCUGCCAUAUGAUAAAGUACCCGGCACAGGUCUACUGCAGAGCAAUGGUGAAAAUAUGAAUCACUCCAUCUCCAGCACAACGUCUGGGAAGAAAGAAGGGGAAAAUGACUCACAGCCUGUUUGGAAUAUCAGGGGCCCAUAAGUGAGAAAUGAGGAGGGUCAGCACAGCAAAGUGUAUGUUUCUCACCGGGUGAAGGAUUUCCACGUAACAGGACUCACGGAAUGCAAAUGAAACUUGUACCUUAGAGAAGGGAACUUCUUUCUACUCCCCUAAACCUCUCAGUCGAAAACUUCAUUCUUCCAUUAAAAAAGAAUUGUGUUUUGUGAUUUAUAAAGUCUACUGCUUUUUCUUCAAGUUGAAUGUUAACGUUCUGCCUUGUGCCCUUAACUUAAUGGAUGUUCUCAAAACUGGCAGCUUUUCUUUCAUGCGGGAAGAAGGAAUAAUUCUGAAUUAAGAGCACUAAAAUAGGUUAAGGAUACAUUAUGUCAGAGGCUGUAGAUUGUUAACAAGCAAAGGAAGCACAAGUCAUAGGAUAUAAUACAAUUAAAGGCAACUGGGUAAGAUUGCCAGCCGUUCCAUCCCAAUGACUUCACCUGUUGAUGCCAGAGGUGACCCUUUCCAGUCUGUCUAAAAUUUGACAGGGUCCAAGGUGCUUUUCUAAUUUCUGAGUGAAUCACAAUUAGUGAGUAUAGUAGGUGCUGCGGGUGCCCCUCCUAUAUCUCAUUACCAGGCCCAUUUGCCCUUCUCCAGCUGUUGUGAGUUUUGGCUGCUAAUGAGCUACAGCUGCGCCCCCUCCAGAAAAUUGCUGAUGGCAGCUGUAUCUCCCAAGAGGUUAUGAUCCUCCAAUUAGGGGCAGCCAAUGAUUGAUGGAUAUGGGGCUACAAAUGGC